UAGAGUCCCUCCUCCACCACCUCCUCCCACAUAUUUUCACGAGAUUGAUCCCUCCCCAAUCUAUCUGCCCACGCGAUUCUAGGCUCCCCAAUUUUUCUUUUGUCGUGUGUGUAGGUGUUGUGGUGGAGGCAGGAAGCGGUGGUGGCGGCGGCCGGAGAGGAGGAGGCGGCGGCGUUCGAAGAGAAGGCGGGUAAGAUGGUCCCGACAAGGACUGCUGCUCCAACACUGUCGGCUCAAAUCUUGUGGGAAGUGGAGUUCGUCCGCGGCCGAAUCCUCCCGUGGGAGAUGGCCGGUGAUGGAGAUCAGGAGCGACAGUGGAGGCGACUACCGAGAUACUUUCCAUGGUGUAGGAGUUCCUCGUCAUCCCAUGGCAUGACAUGUAGGAGUUCAAUCAGAUCUAGCUGCAUCGUCUUUCUUCGGAGGUAGCGACGCUGCUGGAUCCUUCGAUGUGCCACCCACCGGUAUGUUUCAGACUUCCUAGCCAUUGAGCUGUGAAUUUUCAUUUGUUGAAUUUAGUAUUCUUUUUCUUCUUUGAACUGCCCGUAUUCUUUCUAGGGACGGCCUGAUGCAUGCCGGAACGCUUUUUAACCCAUCCCCAACCCUAGCAACAUAUUGUGCUGCCGAUAAACGAAUAGGUUUGCAGAGUGCAGACGGUGAACGAACAUUUCACGUGUGGCGAACAUACUUAGUGAUCGUGGGGUUUGUGGCACUUUAUGUUAUAAUGUGUUCUGGUUUUGUCUUCUUGAAUUAAUUAUCCGACAAUGUGCGAGAAUGUCUGCUUGAAUCUGUGAGUAUGGGAGUCUGAGUCUGUAAGACUGAGAAUGUGGUUCAAACAAAUUUCUACUGGUGUUCACGAAGUUUAAAUUCUGAAAUGAUUGAUACAGAUCCUUAAAUGCAAAACUGUAUGCAGAACUAUAUGUUCACUAACAUUAUGCAGGCAUCAGAGUUUUUGUUGAGUGAUCCGUACAUGUCCCUUGCAACUUUAAUGAUCCUGCUACUGAAGUUGAUGGAACCAGAUUUGAACACAAACUUGUGGCUCACGGCGUGCACAUAGAGAACACACAAGAGGAGCCGGCAACCUUCUUGGAGCAACGAAUUUGAAAGAAAAACGCAGCUGCUGCAACUACAUCUGGAAAAUACCCCACAGACGGGAGAAGAAAACCAGGAACAAUUAUAGAAGCAAGCAGUUGAUAUUUGACCGACUAGUCCAGGCGCUUGGACAGGGUUUAAUUUACUGACGUCUUGUGGUCCAAGCUUCUGAAGAAGAAACCCGCGUCGGCCUGAGGUAGCUAGCUUCAGGUGACGAGGUAGAUGGGCAUCACCGGAGCGCCUCCAGUGCCAAGGCUAGUGGACCUGAGGCUGACGUAGGGAACCGCCACUGCCGCGGCGCCAAGCUCGGCGGCGGCCAGGCGGCCGGACCGCACGGCCGGUGCCCAGCACGUGCACGCGGACGCGCCGCCGCCGUCGUCCCCGCCAGCAUCGCAGUCGGUGAGGUACAUAGGCACGGUUGGCGACGCGGGCGACCCGUACUGGGGAGGUGGAGCUCCUGCGGCGGGUCUGGUUGAUGAGGGGCGCUUCCUGAAGAGAUGGAGCGCGGCAGAGGCGGCGGAGCUCCACCACCGGCGGCGCUGCUGCUGUUUCUGCUGGCGGUGGUGCUUCUUGGCGAUGGGCUUCUGUAGCUUGAACCGCGCGGAGUCCAGGGGCUUCAACUGCGCAGGCUGCUGGUGGCGCUGGCGCCUGCCCCACGGUCGCUUCGCCUCAGGCUGAGGGGAACAGAGGAACCACACCGCACGUCAACAAGAUGCAAGAACGUAACCAGCGUCCAGCAUGCAGCAGGCAUGAUUGGAUCUUUGUUCCUUUUGGAAGAGGUCGAUGCAAUCAUGUAGAGCAGUAGUGUAGUGUUGAGAACUAGAGAUGGACCUGGGAGGGGAAGUGGAGGAGCUGCGGGUCGAAGCCGUAGUCGCUGAAGUGGUCCGACUCGGGCUCGGAGGCGGGCGCGGGGAACGGAGCACUCACGGCCGCCGCUCGCUUCUUCCCCAUCGCCGCAGGGCCUCUCAGUUACCGCCGGUAUGCUCUGUGCAGUGCCGUGCCGAGCCAGCCAGCUUCGCAGGGAAAGAAACGGAGCCCAGGGAGGAGUCUGGGAUUCGGAAAAGAAGGCCAUGGAAGCUGCGAUCUCGUUGAGUCGUUGUAAGUAUUGAAGCGCGGCGGAUGUUUGGGGAGAUGGGCAAGCAAGCUCGAAGAGUGUUGAAUUGAGUGAGCUGAGCUGGUGGGCAAAGGAACCGACCGGCCCAGCAGCCAGCAAAGUGACCGUUGCAGCUGCAACUGCUCCCGCUCCCACUCCCAAGCGCGGUCCCUUGAGAGCCUUUAAUGGCAGCGGCGCCCUCCUUUUUCAAGCCUUUCUCCAUUGCUCGUGCCUCCGCUACUUGAAGAGACAGACUGUAAAAGGGAGGCCGGUCUGUCCGUCAAUCCUUUUGACCAACCAACCGGCAAGGCGACAAUGCGUACCAGCGCACUCUGCCCUCUGCUUCUUUUUUUUCCCCCGGCAUUUCCGGUUUGGGUCUUGCCUCCUUGAGAAAAUAGUUCCUUAAAAAGUUUUAUAGUGUUAUUUCAAAACUGUAAUAUCGUAUGAAAUAAAAAAAUAUUAAACUUCUGCAAGGUUUUAUUCUAUUUUUUAUCAAUAAAUACGGUCUAUUUGGUUUACAGGU